GCCAGUAUGGCAUAGUGGUUAAGCAUUGGACUACGACUCUGGAACCAGGGUUUGAUUCCCUAUUGGGCCA